AGAAAAGUAAGCUAAAAUAAGCUAGUGGGUUCAUACCCCAUUAAUAGAGAUCCUUCUCUCUUCUCUA
rnacentral:tRNA from 1 species